AUUGAACGCUGGCGGCAUGCCUUACACAUGCAAGUCGAACGGCAGCAUGGAGAGCUUGCUCUCUGAUGGCGAGUGGCGAACGGGUGAGUAAUGCAUCGGAACGUACCGUGUAAUGGGGGAUAACGUAGCGAAAGUUACGCUAAUACCGCAUACGACCUGAGGGUGAAAGCAGGGGAUCGCAAGACUUUGCGUUAUACGAGCGGCCGAUGUCAGAUUAGCUAGUUGGUGAGGUAAAGGCUCACCAAGGCGACGAUCUGUAGCGGGUCUGAGAGGAUGAUCCGCCACACUGGGACUGAGACACGGCUCAGACUCAUACGGGAGGCAGCAGUGGGGAAUUUUGGACAAUGGGGGAAACCCUGAUCCCGCCAUGCCGCGUGAGUGAAGAAGGCCUUCGGGUUGUAAAGCUCUUUCGGCCGGGAAGAAAUCGCACAGGCUAAUACUCUGUGUGGAUGACGGUACCGGCAUAAGAAGCACCGGCUAACUACGUGCCAGCAGCCGCAGUAA
rnacentral:rRNA from 1 species